GAAACCCUAGUCAUUAUUCCACUUUCAGCUGUCCCCAGAUGUAGAAAACUCUCUCUAACGAAUCAAUUGAUGUAAGGAGAUCUGAGGCUGCAGUCCACCAUAUUGAGAAGAUGAUGCUUAAUCUAUUGAUCAUCUCCAUUUUUGGGUUUUCCAAACUAAGUUAAUUGCACGGCUGGGAGAAAAUUUUUUGUAGCCAUAAUAUUGAAGCCUACCGUACACAGCAAAAUCGCCCAUCGUUGAUGCCUUCUUCUUCGACCGAAUCUUGAGCAAAUAUUAUGUAAGUAUGAUAUUUGGUCAUUGCUUUUUACUAUGGUAAAGUAAUUUCAGUUUUAAGAAAUGAAAAAAUCUCAACCUCAUCCCCACUUCUUUGAAAAACUCAACGUAAUGCGUUGUAAAGUUUCAAACUCCAUUUCGAAUAUAUGCAAGUUUCGAAUAUAUGUUAAUAUGGGCUCGUGUUGAAUAUAUGAUAAUUUGGGCAUUGUCGGCUGCGAAAUAUUACGUGUUGUUAGAGGUGGGAAAUGGGACAUUCGAACUCUAUUUGGACUUAGUGUAGUGGGAAUAUCUCUGAGGCUAUUUUUUAUUUGAACUUGCAUUUGUUUGUAUCAUUGCUAAAUCUUACAUUACACUACCAAAGGUUGUAAAGAUACAAGGUUUUGAAUUAGACUGUUUGCUAUUGAACUAGGAAACAUAGGCACAAAUUGUGUUAAAUUUAACAGAUUCUGAAGGUUUUGUUUGCUGUUGAUAUGUUUCUUGACAUUUGUUUUUGGUUUUAAAUUUGAUUUUUGUGAGUAACUCAAUUGCACUGAGCAAGGGAAUUUUGUUAAAAAUCUUGUUUAGUUGUUUAAUGUAUUGUAAUAUGUGUGUCGUUUGUGUGUAGUAUGCCGAGAAAGAACUUCGAACUUUGUCAUAGCUGUAGAGAGAAGGGUCACUUGUUUGCAAAUUGCCCGAACAAAAGGAAAUGCCCCUUGUGUAAAAGUGGAUUUGCGAAGUGCUUCGAGGUCGAGAGGAAGACGAAGAACAAGGGAAAAUUGCUCAACUGCUGCCAUGCUAACUGUAAAUAUUGGGAAUGGGUCGAUGAAGGAUAAUCAAGCCGUGGAUCGAGUAAUGUUACCGUUAACUUGAAUAAUUGUGCAGCACUCGAGGAAGUUCAGCAAUUCUCUCGCAUGUUCCAGUCUCUUUGUCACGUGGUUUUCGAGGAACCAAACAUUGAGAUUUCUUUGAACGUGACAAUAAGAAAGGCCAACGAAAGUGCGGGAAUGGAUAUAAAAGGGAAGGGGUCAGCAUGAUCAGUGGUUAACUAAUAAGUGAUGUGUAGUUAGUGUGUUGUGUUAUGUGCAGUUGAUGUGUAAUAUGUGCCGUUGGUGAAUUGAAGAAGUCAUUGUAAUAAAUUCGUUUUUUUAUGUUUGAAUCACUAUGUUAACGAUGUUGGUGUUGAUAGUAGUGGAUUACAAUUUGUUUUCAUUAUAUAAUUUGUC
rnacentral:lncRNA from 1 species